UGCUAGGGUCUUGGAGAAUGAGUGCCAGA
rnacentral:piRNA from 1 species